UACGUAGGGUGCGAGCGUUAAUCGGAAUUACUGGGCGUAAAGGGUGCGCAGGCGGUUAUAUAAGACAGAUGUGAAAUCCCCGGGCUCAACCUGGGACUGCGUUUGUGACUGUAUGACUAGAGUACGGUAGAGAGGGGUGGAAUUCCUGGUGUAGCAGUGAAAUGCGUAGAUAUCAGGAGGAACAUCGAUGGCGAAGGCAGCCCCUUGGACCUGUACUGACGCUCAUGCACGAAAGCGUGGGGGAGCAAACAGG
rnacentral:rRNA from 1 species